CCCCCCCCCAUUCCCUCCCGACGAUUCCAACCUCUCAGGUGAGCACGAACGGCGAUUGUCAACUUCUGUCCGGUCUCUGCAACUUCUGUACGGUCUCUGUCCGGUCUCCGCAAGCGGAAAUCAGGUAUUUAGUUGGAAGAAAUCAGGUAUUUAGUUGGAAGAAAUCAGGUAAUCCGGUCUCUGUCGUUUUUUUUACUUUUUUUACUUUACGUUUUGUUUCUGAUAAAUCCUAGAGUAACCAAAC
rnacentral:lncRNA from 1 species